rnacentral:misc_RNA from 1 species
GCUACUACCGAUUGAAUGGUUUAGUGAGGACUCCUGAUUGGCGCCGCCGCCCCGGCAACGUAGCAGCGGACUGCCGAAAAGUUGUUCAAACUUGAUCAUUUAGAGGAAGUAAAAGUCGUAACAAGGUUUCCGUAGGUGAACCUGCAGAAGGAUCAUGAUCUGAAGAUCGUCGUGUAGGGAAAUAGUGUUCAUCUCGGUUGUCUCCUCAUCAUUAAAACAAAUACUUUUUCACUUUUUUUCUCUCUUUUUUUUUUCUUUCUCUCUCUUUUCCUUUCCU